CUUUUGCCAUCCCUGUUCGACAUCCACCCAGCGUAGCACAUUCUUCUGCAAGACCAGGUCCAGCUGCUUCAUGCAGACCAGGACUGCUGUGUGCUUCAUCCAUGUUCUCAUUUGUAGAAUUCACAACAGCAUCCACCUCAAGAUUCCAUGGAUUUCCCCUCCAUAAAUAUAUCUUUGAGUUGAUUUCGUGAUCAACAGGAAACCUAGAUACCAUCCCACUGCCACUAC
rnacentral:misc_RNA from 1 species